rnacentral:misc_RNA from 1 species
UUGCGUUCGUGAUAAAAGCGACAUCCUUUACUUGCUUUUUUUAAGCAAGCGGCAGCUAUAGCGGAUAGCGCGAUAAAAC